AGUCCGCAAGGCAGUCGCUUGGUGUAACCAAGAGGAAAGUCCGGGCAGCAUAGAACGCAGUAGUCGUUAACGGCGACCGUUUGAUCGUUUAGAAAUGUAGAGAUACAUCAAAAAACCUAAAAAUAGGGAAAGUGCCACAGAGACAAUACCGCCUUAGGGUAAGGGUGAAAAGUGUGAGGUAAGAGCUCACGGCGUACUAUGGUGACAUAGACGAUGGUAAACCCUACUGGCUGCAAGGAGUGCUAGAGAACCUUUGUUCGAGGAUGCACGCUCACCGCUUGAAUAUUUUGGCAACAAAAUGUCUAGAUAGAUGACUGUCGGCUUAUUUAAUAUCUCCCCUGUUAUGGUUAUCUUGUGAUAGGGAAUCGAUAGAACGUAAGUUACAGAACCCGGCUUAA
rnacentral:RNase_P_RNA from 1 species